CUUGAUCAAAAAAAUGAGCAUACAAAUGCUCGCCUGCCAUACCCCUUUCACCUCUCCCAUAUCUAUUCAUGCUACUUUUGUGGUUGUUAAAACGUUUCCUAAAACUAGUAAUUGUACUCCCCACAUACUUUUUCCCACAUUUUCUACAAUAAAUCAAAUAAAUCACCCCAGCCGAAUCGCAAUCAAAGUUGUAAUUAAUGUAGUAUUUUACUUUUCCCUCGAGAAAUUCUUUCCCCUCAUCUACAUAAUUACAAAUCUGACAACGACUCUUAUUACACUUACUCAUCCC